UGCGCGCGUAGGUUGAGGAAACAAGAGAUCCACUACAAGGAAUUUCAUCUUUUGCGGGGCACGAGCUCACCUCAAUUCUCCUAAUAUCUCGCAGCAAAAUUACACAUGUUGCGAUUUCCACUCACCGCAAGUCGGCCGGGAGUAAUACGUCUGGUCAGAGCAAUUUUGGUGAAAAGUGAAGUUGGCCGCUGUUCCUGCAGGUUUUGCCUCCGAUCUUUCUCGCAGCAAAAGUCGAUGGACAAAUACGGUUUGAAGGGCAAUUUCGACUGGGACAUUGUCUGAAAUCGUGGUCAUUUUCGGCCAAUUUUUGGGGCACCGCAAUUGCAGAUGUCGGCGACUUUUGGGGCGCCAAAAUUGCUGAAGAUGUUGCUGCCUACAUCUCCUGCAGCAACCACGGUCGAUCCCAAAUUGGUUUGAAGAGCAAUUACUGCCAAAUUGCUGGGACGCCACCAUUAUGGACAUACGGAGAGUUUGGGUCACCGCAAAAGGGAACUUCAGAUUUUGUCAAUUAGAUCCAAAUUGCGGUGAAUUUGGUUACGGCGAAAUUUGUAGUAGUGCAUGCGGGAAGGGGUGAAUCCGCAACAAAUGCCAUUUGUUCAGCCUUUCAAAAUCAUGGACAUGGGUAUUUCCAUGUGGUGAACAAUGACUAUAAACAGACAGCCAAGGGAACAGCUUUCUCGCCCCCAACAAAAAUGUAACAAGGAGGUUACCAAACACGAGGAUGCACCAGAGAGCCAGUGGAAGAACUGGAAUUGGAGCAUGGAGGAAAAUACUUACAUGGAUCUCUUAGUGC